rfam:Candidatus Arthromitus sp. SFB-mouse-Japan DNA, complete genome.
UCUGGUGAUUAUAACGUGUAGGCAACACCCCUAUCCAUACCGAACAGGAAGGUUAAGCUACACUGUGCUGAUGGUACUAUAGGGUUACCCCUAUGGAAGAGUAAGUCAUUGCCAGUU